rnacentral:rRNA from 1 species
CAGCAGCCGCGGUAAUACGUAGGUGGCAAGCGUUGUCCGGAAUUAUUGGGCGUAAAGGGCCCGCAGGCGGUUCCUUAAGUCUGAUGUGAAAGCCCCCGGCUCAACCGGGGAGGGUCAUUGGAAACUGGGAAACUUGAGUGCAGAAGAGGAGAGUGGAAUUCCACGUGUAGCGGUGAAAUGCGUAGAAAUGUGGAGGAACACCAGUGGCGAAGGCGACUCUCUGGUCUGUAACUGACGCUGAGGAGCGAAAGCGUGGGGAGCGAACAGGAUUAGAUACCCCAGUAGUCCCUGUCUCUUAUAC